rnacentral:rRNA from 1 species
CUACGGGUGGCAGCAGUGGGGAAUAUUGCACAAUGGAGGAAACUCUGAUGCAGCAACGCCGCGUGGAGGAUGACACUUUUCGGAGCGUAAACUCCUUUUAUAUAGGAAGAAGAUGACGGUACUAUAUGAAUAAGCGCCGGCUAACUCCGUGCCAGCAGCCGCGGUAAUACGGAGGGCGCAAGCGUUACUCGGAAUCACUGGGCGUAAAGAGCGUGUAGGCGGAUUAAAAAGUCAGAAGUGAAAUCCUAUAGCUUAACUAUAGAACUGCUUCUGAAACUCUUAAUCUAGAAUAUGGGAGAGGUAGAUGGAAUUUCUGGUGUAGGGGUAAAAUCCGUAGAGAUCAGAAGGAAUACCGAUUGCGAAGGCGAUCUACUAGAACAUUACUGACGCUAAGGCGUGAAAGCGUGGGGAGCAAACAGGAUUAGAUACCCUAGUAGUC